UACGAAGGGGGCUAGCGUUGCUCGGAAUCACUGGGCGUAAAGCGCACGUAGGCGGAUUGCUAAGUCAGGGGUGAAAUCCUGGAGCUCAACUCCAGAACUGCCUUUGACACUGGCGAUCUUGAGUCCGGGAGAGGUGAGUGGAACUGCGAGUGUAGAGGUGAAAUUCGUAGAUAUUCGCAAGAACACCAGUGGCGAAGGCGGCUCACUGGCCCGGUACUGACGCUGAGGUGCGAAAGCGUUGGGAGCAAACAGG
rnacentral:rRNA from 1 species